GGACAUGAGGGCUAUCUAGCUGUGAUGUCUGCCAUCCCACCCUAUUGAUUUUCAGGACUGAUUCAGCUGAUCUGACUAGCUAGACUGGUGUUUUCUUCCUCCCUCACUGCACCAUAGAUGUCACACCUAAAGAUUUAUGCUGGAUCAGAGAAGAAAACCUUUCCAGACACAAAGGACCCAUGCUUUGGUCAAGAUGAUUAAGUAGCUGAGGCCCACUAGAACCUUCUAAGAAAAUCUCAACUAAGUUAAGGCAACAAAAGAAUGUGUUCCUAGCCUUUAAAUAAUCUUGGAAGGGGGGAAUGGUGAUUU
ensembl:misc_RNA 7SK 7SK RNA